GGGGGGGGGGGGGGGGGGGCGGGGGGCGGGGGGGGCGGGCGGGGGGAGGAGGAGCGGGCUCCGCGGGCGGGAGCGGCGGACGGGGGAGUAACACGUGGAUAACCUACCUAUAAGACUGGGAUAACUUCGGGAAACCGGAGCUAAUACCGGAUAAUAUAUUGAACCGCAUGGUUCAAUAGUGAAAGACGGUUUUGCUGUCACUUAUAGAUGGAUCCGCGCCGCAUUAGCUAGUUGGUAAGGUAACGGCUUACCAAGGCAACGAUGCGUAGCCGACCUGAGAGGGUGAUCGGCCACACUGGAACUGAGGCACGGUCCAGACUCCUACGGGAGGCAGCAGUAGGGAAUCUUCCGCAAUGGGCGAAAGCCUGACGGAGCAACGCCGCGUGAGUGAUGAAGGUCUUCGGAUCGUAAAACUCUGUUAUUAGGGAAGAACAAAUGUGUAAGUAACUAUGCACGUCUUGACGGUACCUAAUCAGAAAGCCACGGCUAACUACGUG
rnacentral:rRNA from 1 species